rnacentral:misc_RNA from 1 species
UUUCCGUAGGUGAACCUGCGGAAGGAUCAUUACAGAGUUCAUGCCCUCACGGGUAGAUCUCCCACCCUUGAAUAUUUAUACCUUAGUUGCUUUGGCAGGCCGUGGAAACACCAUGGGCUCCGGCCUAUGCGUGCCUGCCAGAGGAAACAAACUCUGUUUUUAGUGAUGUCUGAGUACUAUAUAAUAGUUAAAACUUUCAACAACGGAUCUCUUGGUUCUG